GAUGAACGCUGGCGGCGUGCCUAAUACAUGCAAGUCGAGCGAACAGGCGAGGAUCUUGCUCCUCUCACGUUAGCGGCGGACGGGUGAGUAACACGUGUAUAACCUACCUGUAAGACUGGUAUAACUUCGAGAAACGGGAGCUAAUACGGGAGAAUAUAUUGAACCGCAUGGGUCAAUGGUGAAAGACGGUUUUGCUGUCACUUAUAGAUGGAUCCGCGCCGCAUUAGCUAGUUGGUAAGGUAACGGCUUACCAAGGCAACGAUGCGUAGCCGAACGGAGAGGGUGGUCGGCCACACUGGAACUGAGACACCGUCAAGACUACUACGGGAGGCAGCAGUAGGGAAUCGUCCGCAAUGGGCGAAAGCAUGACGGAGCAACGCGGCGUGAGUGAUGACGGUCUUCGGAUCGUAAAACUCUGUUAUUAGGUAAGAACAAAUGUGUACGUAACUAUGCACGUAUUGACGGUACCUAAUAAGAAAGCAACGGCUAACUACGUG
rnacentral:rRNA from 1 species